CCUACGGGAGGCAGCAGUGGGGAAUAUUGCGCAAUGGGCGAAAGCCUGACGCAGCGACGCCGCGUGAGGGAUGAAGGUCUUCGGAUCGUAAACCUCUGUCAGCAGGGAAGAACGGUCACUGUGCUAAUCAGCAGUGAAUUGACGGUACCUGCAAAGGAAGCACCGGCUAACUCCGUGCGAGCAGCCGCGGUAAUACGGAGGGUGCGAGCGUUAAUCGGAAUUACUGGGCGUAAAGCGCUCGUAGGCGGGAUGGCAAGUCAAGGGGGAAAUCCCCGCGCUCAACGUGGGAACUGCAUUUGAAACUGGCAAACUGGAGUGUGUGAGAGGAGAGUGGAAUUCCAGGGGUAGGAGUGAAAUCCGUAGAUAUCUGGAGGAACAUCAGUGGCGAAGGCGACUAUCUGGCACAUAACUGACGCUGAGGAGCGAAAGCGUGGGUAGCAAACAGGAUUAGAUACCCUAGUAGUC
rnacentral:rRNA from 1 species